rnacentral:rRNA from 1 species
AACGCGUGAGUAACCUGCCUCAUACAGGGGAAUAACAGUUAGAAAUGACUGCUAAUGCCGCAUAAGCGCACAGGGCCGCAUGGCCCGGUGUGAAAAACUCCGGUGGUAUGAGAUGGACUCGCGUCUGAUUAGCUAGUUGGCAGGGUAACGGCCUACCAAGGCGACGAUCAGUAGCCGGCCUGAGAGGUUGAACGGCCACAUUGGGACUGAGACACGGCCCAG